GAUGAACGCUAGCUACAGGCUUAACACAUGCAAGUCGAGGGGAAACGGCAUUGAGUGCUUGCACUCUUUGGACGUCGACCGGCGCACGGGUGAGUAACGCGUAUCCAACCUUCCCAUUACUGUGGGAUAACCUGCCGAAAGGCAGACUAAUACCGCAUAGUCUUCGAUGACGGCAUCAGAUUUGAAGUAAAGAUUUAUCGGUAAUGGAUGGGGAUGCGUCUGAUUAGCUUGUUGGCGGGGUAACGGCCCACCAAGGCUACGAUCAGUAGGGGUUCUGAGAGGAAGGUCCCCCACAUUGGAACUGAGACACGGUCCAAACGCCUACGGGAGGCAGCAGUGAGGAAUAUUGGUCAAUGGACGGAAGUCUGAACCAGCCAAGUAGCGUGCAGGAUGACGGCCCUAUGGGUUGUAAACUGCUUUUGUAUGGGGAUAAAGUUAGGGACGUGUCCCUAUUUGCAGGUACCAUACGAAUAAGAACCGGCUAAUUCCGUG
rnacentral:rRNA from 1 species